rnacentral:lncRNA from 1 species
UAUGUCUGCCUGGCCAGUUAGUUUCCGCUGUGCGACGGCCUAUCUGCUUGACCCACGUGGCAUACUGAGGUUGGUCAGCGCCAGGUUGGGCGCGACAACUGGUGGUCUGUACGGGGGAAACAACAUCAAAUCCACCGAAAAGAAAAUCAACUCUCUCCGGGAUCAGAACUUUUCGCAGUCAGGGUGGUGCUGGACUGACAAGAUCCACUGUGGGUCCCUGAGAGAUUGACCAGGAGGUGUAACAAGAAUGAAGACCCUGCUGCUGCUGACGCUUCUCAGCAUAACCCAAGUACUGAUCCAGAUGGAGCCCUGAUGGGGGAUACUAUCGGUGUUCCCGAGACCCAUGCCGAUACGCCAUGAUGCUAAGUUGUUCCCUCGCCUUUUUGGCACCAAUAAAACUCUUGAUGCACCCU